CCUACGGGAGGCAGCAGUGGGGAAUUUUGGACAAUGGGGGAAACCCUGAUCCAGCAAUGCCGCGUGUGCGAAGAAGGCCUUCGGGUUGUAAAGCACUUUUAUUCGGAGAGAAAUCCCUUGGGCUAAUACCCUGAGGGUCUGACGGUACCGGAUGAAUAAGCGCCGGCUAACUACGUGCCAGCAGCCGCGGUAAUACGUAGGGCGCGAGCGUUAAUCGGAAUUACUGGGCGUAAAGCGUGCGCAGGCGGUUUUGUAAGACAGAUGUGAAAGCCCCGGGCUCAACCUGGGAAUUGCAUUUGUGACUGCAAGGCUAGAGUGUGUCAGAGGGAGGUGGAAUUCCGCGUGUAGCAGUGAAAUGCGUAGAGAUGCGGAGGAACACCGAUGGCGAAGGCAGCCUCCUGGGAUAACACUGACGCUCAUGCACGAAAGCGUGGGGAGCAAACAGGAUUAGAUACCCUGGUAGUCCACGCCCUAAACGAUGUCAACUAGUUGUCGGGAAUUAAAUUUCUUGGUAACGCAGCUAACGCGUGAAGUUGACCGCCUGGGGAGUACGGCCGCAAGGUUAAAACNCAAAUGAAUUGACGG
rnacentral:rRNA from 1 species